rnacentral:rRNA from 1 species
UACAGAGGAUGCAAGCGUUAUCCGGAAUGAUUGGACGUAAAGAGCUCGUAGGCGGUUUGUCGCGUCUGCCGUGAAAGUCCGGGGCUCAACUCCGGAUCUGCGGUGGGUACGGGCAGACUAGAGUGAUGUAGGGGAGACUGGAAUUCCUGGUGUAGCGGUGAAAUGCGCAGAUAUCAGGAGGAACACCGAUGGCGAAGGCAGGUCUCUGGGCAUUAACUGACGCUGAGGAGCGAAAGCAUGGGGAGCGAACAGG